UACGGAGGAUGCGAGCGUUAUCCGGAUUCAUUGGGUUUAAAGGGUGCGCAGGCGGGGCAUUAAGUCAGUGGUGAAAUAAGACGGCUCAACUGUCUGGCUGCCAUUGAUACUGAUGUUCUAGAGUGUAAUUGGAGUGGGCGGAAUGUGUCAUGUAGCGGUGAAAUGCUUAGAGAUGACACAGAACACCGAUCGCGAAGGCAGCUCACUAAGUUAAUACUGACGAUCAUGCACGAAAGAGUGGGGAUCAAACAGG
rnacentral:rRNA from 1 species